CGAGAGCCUGAUCCAGCCAUGCCGCGUGCAGGAAGACGGCCCUAUGGGUUGUAAACUGCUUUUAUACGGGAAGAAACACUCUGACGUGUCAGAGCUUGACGGUACCGUAAGAAUAAGGAUCGGCUAACUCCGUGCCAGCAGCCGCGGUAAUA
rnacentral:rRNA from 1 species